AAUCUUAUAUUUUAGAAAAAAUAUUAAAUUGCAAAUUUAAUGAUAUAUAAAAAUUAUAUUAAGAUUU
rnacentral:tRNA from 1 species